rnacentral:lncRNA from 1 species
GAAGAAUAGAAAUGGAGUGAAAGGAGAAGUAUGGAGCAGUUUGGUUCUAGUGCAAAGAGAGGGCAAGUCUUACAGAGAUUGUCUGUCAAGCUUCAGGAGGGUCUUAAGAAGUCAAGAAGUGAUCUUAUGGCUGUGCAAGAUUGGGUUUAAGUCCAGGAGGGACUUAGACACCAUUUGGAGAAUAUUUGGUCGAGACAGUAACUCCAAAGUUACCACAGUAACUUUGGAGAGUUACCACAGUAACUUUGGAGAGUUACCACAGUAAGAGAACACAAAACUCUUAAGAGAAGAAGACAAAACUCUUAAGAGAAGAAGACAAAGGAGAGGCUGGCAAGUGACAGGCUGGAAAGGAGAGUCCCUUGCUGUAAAGUAAAAGCAAAAGGAGACCAUGUAUCUAGCAAAAGAAGUGGGCAGAUUCAUGGGAGCCUUUAGCUAGCCAAUAAGGAGCCAGCCUUCCCUUGACCAGAUUCAAAUGGACCAAUUAUCCAUCAGGAAGAGUCAGCCACGACCAAGACCAUCUUUCCAUCUCAUCCAUCCAUUUAAAUUCAAGUUAUAACAGCCCUUAGAUUUAGGUUUAUGAUUGCAAGUUGUAAAGAGCAUAUAUAAGCUCAUAAGUGAUGUUUUGUAACUCUUAAGUGAGUAAGGGGGUUUCCC